UACGUAGGGUGCAAGCGCUAAUCGGAAUUACUGGGCGUAAAGCGUGCGCAGGCGGUUCGUUGUGUCCGUCGUGAAAGCCCCGGGCUUAACCUGGGAACUGCGAUGGAAACUAGCGAGCUGGAGUGUGGCAGAGGGGGGUGGAAUUCCGCGUGUAGCAGUGAAAUGCGUAGAGAUGCGGAGGAACACCGAUGGCGAAGGCAGCCCCCCUGGGCUAACACUGACGCUCAGGCACGAAAGCGUGGGGAGCAAACAGG
rnacentral:rRNA from 1 species